GUGCUUGCUUCGGCAGCACAUAUACUAAAAUUGGAACGAUACAGAGAAGAUUAGCAUGGCCCCUGUGCAAGGAUAACACACAAAUUCGUGAAGCAUUCCAUAUUUUU
rnacentral:snRNA from 1 species